GUACACGAGCGGCGAACGGGUGAGUAACACGUGGGUGAUCUGCCCUGUACUUCGGGAUAAGCCUGGGAAACUGGGUCUAAUACCGGAUAUGACCUGAGGUUGCAUGACUUCAGGUGGAAAGAUUUAUCGGUACAGGAUGGGCCCGCGGCCUAUCAGCUUGUUGGUGGGGUAACGGCCUACCAAGGCGACGACGGGUAGCCGACCUGAGAGGGUGACCGGCCACACUGGGACUGAGACACGGCCCAGACUCCUACGGGAGGCAGCAGUGGGGAAUAUUGCACAAUGGGCGAAAGCCUGAUGCAGCGACGCCGCGUGGGGGAUGACGGCCUUCGGGUUGUAAACCCCUUUCGACAGGGACGAAGCGCAAGUGACGGUACCUGUAGAAGAAGCACCGGCCAACUACGUGCCAGCAGCCGCGGUAAUACGUAGGGUGCGAGCGUUGUCCGGAAUUACUGGGCGUAAAGAGCUUGUAGGCGGUCUGUCGCGUCUUCUGUGAAAACUUGGGGCUCAACCUUAAGCUUGCAGGGGAUACGGGCAGACUAGAGUACUUCAGGGGAGACUGGAAUUCCUGGUGUAGCGGUGAAAUGCGCAGAUAUCAGGAGGAACACCGGUGGCGAAGGCGGGUCUCUGGGAAGUAACUGACGCUGAGAAGCGAAAGCAUGGGUAGCAAACAGGAUUAGAUACCCUGGUAGUCCAUGCCGUAAACGGUG
rnacentral:rRNA from 1 species